rnacentral:rRNA from 1 species
CCUACGGGGAGCAGCAGUGGGGAAUAUUGCACAAUGGGGGAAACCCUGAUGCAGCGACGCCGCGUGAGUGAAGAAGUAUUUCGGUACGUAAAGCUCUAUCAGCAGGGAAGAAAAUGACGGUACCUGACUAAGAAGCCCCGGCUAACUACGUGCCAGCAGCCGCGGUAAUACGUAGGGGGCAAGCGUUAUCCGGAUUUACUGGGUGUAAAGGGAGCGUAGACGGCAGCGCAAGUCUGGAGUGAAAUCCCAUGGCUUAACCAUGGAACUGCUUUGGAAACUGUGCAGCUAGAGUGCAGGAGAGGUAAGCGGAAUUCCUAGUGUAGCGGUGAAAUGCGUAGAUAUUAGGAGGAACACCAGUGGCGAAGGCGGCUUACUGGACUGUAACUGACGUUGAGGCUCGAAAGCGUGGGGAGCAAACAGGAUUAGAUACCCUAGUAGUC